UUCAAAACACUAAAAAAUCAAAACCUAAAUUUGACUCAUGUUCUUCUUCCCUCUCCCUAGCAGCCGCCACCUCCCCCUUAAUCUCUUUGUCCCCUCGUUUCCUUUUUCUGGCAAAACGCCACCACAAUCCGCCUCUAUCUUUUCCGUUCUCCUCCCCAUCUCCGACCGACGACCCUCUCUCUCCCCCACUCUUACCGGCGUGAUCCAGCAGAUGUUGGUAGCCAUUGUUUCUCCCUCUUUCCCUCCCUCUUCUCCUGUCCUUUUCGACCCUCUUUUCCUCUUCCCUCGAUCCCUUUCUCUUUCCCCCCUCCUCACUUCCCCUCUCUCUUUCUGACGACCUUCUUUCCUCCCCCUCUCCCAUAUCCCUCGUUCUUUUCUCUUUUCUAGCAGGGACAACAGUAGGCGAGAAGCUGAUGAGGAAACCGCCAGGCAGCCUGCGAGACACAGCAGCGACCGGCGUUAACGACAACCAAAAGACCACUCUCCCCCACAUUUUUCGACGAAGAAGCAGCGUGGUCCAGUGAGGCUUUGUUCGAACUUUAAAAUUUCGUGUUUGUUAAGAGAUCGAUCUGUUCAAAUCCAUCCAAGGUAAGUCUAAGUUAUUUUUUUUCUCCAUCACUGUCUACUUUCUUUUCCAAGUUGGAGGUUAUAUUACAUGUUUAUUGUUAGGAAAAAAACUAUCUAUGUGGAAAUUUUUUGUUCAACAUUCAUGCCCUUUUUCUUAAUGUUAUUGAUCUGAUGAUUUUUUUCCUUUAAAACUUGUUAAUAUUCAUUGAUGAUUGUUUAACAUGUUGCCAUUGAUUAGUUCUGUCAGAGUGAUGGAGUUGCUAACUCAUAGCUUAUCGUGAUAUAUAUGAAAUGAAUUUGGGGAAUCAUGUAAGGCGAGGGAAAUUAUUUGCAAAUUUAUUUGUGUUAGCAAGCAUGAAUAUAGGUUUGUCAUCUGUUUUGAGAAAGUGAUUUAGAUCUAGCGAUAAAAUAAAUAAAAGAAUUAAAUAAAUCAUUGUGUUUAAUUAGUUGGUUGAUCUUGUCUAACAAAUAAUCUUAAGUUAUAAUUAAUCUAAUUUGCAUUUUAAUGAUAACUAUAAAUCUCUUCUCAAUUAGCUAAAAUGUUAAAUAAUUUGCAUGCAUCUUUUAUUUUGCAAAAUUAUUCAAUUCAAUAAAACUUAUGCUUAUAGAAUCUGUAAAUAUUUUGAACAGCUAGAAAUCCUGUUUUCAGGCGUAUUUUAAUAAAUUUUUUUGCAUGCUUAAAAUAAAAAUAUUCACGAAUAUUUUUCUGCUCAUUGUAAAAAUAUAAAUUUUACCUUUAUUUUUUUCUGCAUGUUUUUAUCUUUAAAUCUGUAAAAUAAUCAAUAUUUCUGCAUCAUAAUUAACCCAUCUUUUCAUCUAAAAUGGCUACUAAUUAUUUUCUGCAUCUAAUAAAAAAUAACAGUCUAAGAAAGAUUUAUGCAUUGAAUUCUCUUUCUGCAUAGUAAUUAUUUACUUCCUAAAAAUAUAUUUUUUAACAUUAAUAACUAAUCUGUAAAUCUGUCAAUGUUCUUAAAAAAAUUUGCAUUAAAAUAAGCUAGUCAUUUACUUAGAAUAAUUUUCAGCAUUAAUAUGAAAUAAAUUGUUGUUCUCAAAAUAAAUUUUUGCCUAAAUAAAAAAAAAUUGUUGCCCUAAGUUAUGUCUUUGCACUAAUUAUUAUAUCUUUCUACUGAUUUUAAAAAUGUAUGUGCACGUGUGAUCACAUCUGUUGCCACUUGAAAAUAAAAUAAAAUCUUUUAUGUCACUAAUAAUCGCUCACUCUAAUUUUAGUUCAACACUCAAAUCUACAUUAAUCUUUGCUUUGUUAUUAUCACUUUGUAUGCUCACGGUCUUAGCAUGAGAAUCUUCACCAUUAUGUGUUGUUUGCAAGCAUGUCUAAUUGAUUUUAGAGGCUAAAUUGAGACUUGUAUUGCUAAAAUGACCGUCUUGUUUGCCUUGUUUGUUUGACUUGGUGUCUAGGAGGGCUUUAUAUUCCAUUUUAACUAAACUCAUCCCAUUAAGAGUCAAAAGCCUGUUUGACAUUAAGUUGGGACGAUUAGGCACCUUUUAGGUAAGUUAUGUAUGCGGUGGUUGGGCAGGGUAGUUGGCCCUACGGAGAUGAUGACAUCGACUCAGGCUUGAAAGACAAACUUUGGUUUUGUUUGUCCCUAUACGGCAACCUAUCAGAAAAUAAAAGAAAAGUCGAGUGCUGAUCCAGAAAGUCUCUUAAAGUCUCCCUUCCCUUUAUCCCUUUAUUUGUUAAUUAUACUUAUUUGGGGGUAUAUUAGAUAAAAAUAUUUUUGUUUUCUUAUUUAUUUGUCUCUUUUUUCAAUCAUUUCGCUUAUCUCUUUAUUAAUCUCUUAGUAUAUCUUUUAUUGUUAUCACUUAGUCUCGCAUGUUUAAAUAUUAAUUAAAAUAAUAACAUGAGCUAUUUGUUCGAUUUAUUUAUCACAUAGUCUCGUAUAUGAAAUAAAUAAAAUGAGCUUAAUUGUUUAUUUAUUUCUAUAACCUAGCCUUGCAUGUUUAAAUUAACUUUAAAAAAAAUUAAUUGCUUAAUAUUAUGUCAUCACUUACAAAGUAUAUUAAUAAAUAAUAAUGAAGUGACCUUGAUUUCUACUAAUAACCCCACAAAGAUUGCAUGAGAUACGGUCGGGACCCACAUUUGUGGACCUUGAGCGAUGCCUAACACCUACCCCUCGAGAUAAUUUGAACCCUUACCCUGAUCUCUAGCUCGUUGACCUUAGCUAGACUUAGUUAGGUUAGAGAGGUGCCCUAACGCGACUUAAUUCGUUAGGUGGCAACUACUUAAACUCAAAAUCCCAAAAGAGUUUUAGGUUGUGCAAAAAAUAUAUUUUUACAAAAAAAUGGAGCGCGACACUGAUAAACUCAAACUUACUUCUCAAAUAAGAAGUAAAGCGGUCGUGUCAUGUAAAUAACCCAACUAGUAAGGUUGGGAUCGUUCCCACGAGGAAAUUAGUCUAGACUUAACUUCAACCUAUUAUUACUAUUGUUUGGUUAAUGACUUCCUUGGAAAGUAAAAACAAUAAAGGGGGGUUUCUAUUUCUAAAUGAGUGAAAAUAAAUAACGAAGUUGAAAGAGACACUUAACAGAUUUAGAUGUUGGGUUUUAAUCAAUUAAUCAAAGUAACUACGGUUUAUGUGUUCCCCACAGGUUCAUAACUUGAUAAUUCUAACUAUAACAAUUCUUUCCUAGUAUCUUGCAUACAAAGUGAUAAGUUACGUAUUUCUAAAUCCUUGGUCCGGCAUCUAAAAAAUCUCACUCCGCACCUUGGUCCGGCUACGUGUGUUGCUAUCCUAACCUUUAUCCUUACCUCAUAUUAAGCAUCGUAUUCGAUAUUUGACUAAGUUAUUACCUCGUACCAAUCAAUACUAGCCUAUUAGAUAGUAUACACUAAAUCUAUGUUAAUAAUUCUUUUCCUAUUAUCUACCUCCUUGGUCCGGCAAGUAACAUUAAGGCGAGUUCUAACGUUGGCCAUCCAUUAAAAAGACUUUUAAGCGAAACAAUUAUUAAUACAUGCAAGAUACUAAUCUAGAAUUGUUAUCUUAGUUAGGGUUUAUCUCAUUAUUUGCCUAUGGUUCCCACAACCCUAGUUAUAGAGUUUAGUUACUCAUAGCUAUAAACACAAUAUUCAAAUAUAUUAAAUACAAAUUCAUGUACUUACUUCAAUGAAAAAGAAUAAAAUCCAAAGUUUGCUUGAUUAAUCUCCAAAAAUCAAUUACAAGAAUCUCAAAAUCCAACACUAAUACACAAAGUCUAAUAAUACGGAGUCUAACUAUCUGGUGUCUAUCUAUCUCGUGUCUAACCUCAAAAACGAGGUUUUUUGAAUUAUUUAUAAAAAUCAAAAACCUAAUAAAUCAAGUAUUCUAAUUGCUGGAAAUCUGCCAAAACGUGGCUGGAUCGACGGACUUCGUGACGGACCGUCGUGGACUCUGUCGUCCCAUACUGCAAUUUCUUCAGCUGCUCUCUUCAUUCCCCUCGACGGCAAGUAUGAAGGACCGUCAUAGGCACAACGGUCCGUCGAGGGUCUUCAUUCUAAAACACUUCAACUCUUGGAAUCUGGGUACUGGGAUCACUUCUCUGAUCUUCACGACGAACCUGCAGGACGGACGUCAGAGCCACGACGGACCGUCACAAGCUUCGUAAUUCCACACUUAGUCAGACUUCUCCAUCUUCCUUCAGCAGUUGCACUACGCUGCCACCUACGGACCGUCACAAGCACGACGGACCGUCAUAAGCUCCGUAGGUGGUCUCUUCUGCAUUUCUUCGCUCGAAAUCUCCGCAUUCAGCUUUGGACAGAUUUCCUGCAAAACAAAGAGAAACUUAUAUAAAAAUUAGCACAAAAAGGCUUUUGGACACGCUAAACUUAAGGAAAAGUAUUAAUAAUACCGUGAAACCACGGUAUAUCAACACCCUCAACUUAAAUUCGUUGUUUGUCCUCAAGCGACGCACUAUGACUCACUACACAAUCUUUGUACAGUAGUAUCCAUGUUUUAUCCUUUGCAAUCAUUUGGCUAUCAAUCCUGAUUAAUCUCAUCAAAUCUAUGCAUGCUAUCACUAUUAGACUUGAAUUUUGUGGGAUCAGAACAUGACACAGACUCACCAAGCACUAACACCUAUCCUCUUCAAUUUCUCACCGAGGUGCUAAGAAUUCUGGUAUUGCAACUAGUGUCCUCACUUUAAAACAAAAUCCUCCUUUUUCACACAAUGAUUUCAGUUUGAGUAUAAGGAUUACUUUUUAACACUCAAUCUCAGAACAAAGUCACACUCAUUCAUACGUUUUGCCAUAAGCUUGCCCUUAUUUUCACUGUCUUAAGUUCGCUAUACAACCCUUAGGAUCACGAUAGGACUUUUUUUAGCUAGUAACGUAGGAUUGGGGUCAGGUAAGGUAUAUUUUGGUAUACUUUAGUGACUUUUUGCCCUCCUUGACAUAUCGGCUAAACCUUCCACUGUCUCUCAUUUUAUCUCGCCCAGUUUCUCAUAUUCUUUCACCUUGCCAUUUUCUCUUCUUUCUUCAUUUGUGUAAGUGACGCUCUUCUUUUCUUGCUUGUAUUUCUCUUUUUCUUUACUUUUAUUUUCAUCUAAUUCUUGAGUCACUUUACUUUUGUUCUUUCUCUCUCUUUGUUCUUUCAACCCCACUUUCCAGAGCAUUCCUCAUAGUAGCCACCCUCAACUCAUGGCUUUGCCAUGAGUCAAGGUACACGAUACCCAAAGUUGGGUCAGGGCCAUAACAAAGGUUGUUUAUGCAUUAGCCACCCUCAACUUAUGCUUUUGGCAUAAGCUGAGGUGCACAUGUCCAAGGAGGGACCAGGGCCAGAACAUUGUUCCCAGAAAAGAUCAGUUGGGAUGAAAAAUAAAGGUCUAAUUUUAAGCUCAGCUUAUUUGGAUCAAAGAAGGAUAAAUUUCAUUUGAUUACUUUUAUUUAGGCUAGAAAUGGGAUAUAUUGAAUAAGGGCCUAUGAUCAUUUCCUAAUUGUGUAUUAUAGCUUACUUUUAGCAUGACUAACCAGGAAAGUUCUAGCUCAGUACCAAUAGUGGACUAUUCAAAUUUCCUCACACUCACUUGACAUCUCAUCAUUAUACCAGAUUAUCAGACACCUAGUUCGAAUUAAAGACUUAGGGUAAUGCAAUGGUGUAACUCUAUUUCAUGCUUAGAGCCACACAAUUAUCAGUUACUAUGCCUAGUCAUGCAUUAUUUUCCAGUUUAUCAGGAUACCAUUUUAGCCAUCAUGCUUCAGACUUAAACUAUGUACAAAAGAUAUAAACAUGCCGGUUCAACAGAAAAAGUAAUCAGUCUUUUGGGGAAAAAGAACACAGGAAAGAAAACCCCAAAAUAGGAUAGUGAAUUGGGCUACUCAUAUUUCACCCUAACACUCACUAUCCAUUUACCCCACCCCCAACAAAAAGGCAUGCAAUUGUCCCCAAUGCAUAAAAAUCUAAAUACAAGAGUGGUAGGUGAAGCAAACCUGUGGCGCAAAGCGCCGUCGAUCAGCAAGAUAGUGGGUCCGGUUCCCCGGAAACCACGUCCUUUGCAAUCUGGACACCCUCAGUGGUGUCCUCAGCAACAUCCGCACCAUCAAUAGUGCCUCCUUCUAUCUCCACAGUACGGGAGCUAGAUGCCCCAGCCGCUAACUCAGAUGCUCUCAUUCGGUGCGCCUCCUCCUCAGCUAGGAAGGCUCUCCUCGCGGCCUCUAUAUCUCGGCGCUCCUUCUUCCGUGCUCGUGCCUCGUCCUGUGCUCGACCCCUACGCCUCUUGGCACUCUCUCGAGGGGGAGGUGGUGGAAUGUCAGAAGUAGCAAAAUGGUCGCCAACACGGUGUCCUUAGCAGGCUCGACAGAAGGGGCCUCAGACUCCGGCACCCUAGCCUCUAAGAUCGUGUCGAUGUUUGCCCGAAGACUGUCAACUGCAGCUUGAAGAGUCGACACAUCUAUCGGUGGGGCUGGUCGGGCUAGCACUCUCAACUCAAAGGCAUCCAGGCACUGGUUAACCUCAGCGAUCUUCCGCUCUGUAAACUGCAUCAUCUUCCUCUAUAGAGUCUCUUCGGACUCAGUAAUCGACUUCUGCAUCCACGGCUGGAUAUGAUGCAGAAGAGUGGCCAUUUGUGCCUCUAGUUUUUGAACCCUUGCAAGCGGGACCAGUGCCGGUAGAGGGGCUGUGCGAGAGGAGCUCGGGGUUGUGCUACUACCUGGGAUAGACUCGACCAGGGUAGUGUCAGUGGACGCCUGUGUAGCUGUGCGGGCCUGGGCUACCGUAUCAGCAAGAUCAUCAGCAAGUGAGGGAAGCUCUGGACGGGGCCCUCUGCGUGGAGCCAACUCAUUGGCCUCGUCUCUGAUGAGGCCGACGUUUACAGUGCCCUGCGGGGUCUUAAGCUGAUCUACGUGCCAUAUCAGCACACCUGCGAACCUGCAAAGGGCAAAGAUCAUGCACGGGAAGGGGUAGGUCGUAGUGACCUUGAAUGCCCUCUCGUGCAUGACUGCCUGGAGAAGCCAUGCGAAGUCAAUCUCGAAUCCGGCUAUCAUCGCCGCCAUCAACACUGCUCGAUCCCCGGCAACGGCGCCAAAAUUUGAUACGCUCAAACUUACUUCUCAAAUAAGAAGUAAAGCGGUCGUGUCAAGUAAAUAACUCAACUAGUGAGGUUGGGAUCGUUCCCACGAGGAAAUUAGUCUAGACUUAACUUCAACCUAUUAUUACUAUUGUUUGGUUAAUGACUUCCUUGGAAAGUAAAAACAAUAAAGGGGGGUUUCUAUUUCUAAAUGAGUGAAAAUAAAUAACGAAGUUGAAAGAGACACUUAACAGCUUUAGAUGUUGGAUUAUAAUCAAUUAAUCAAAGUAACUAGGGUUUAUGUGUUCCCCACAGGUUCAUAACUUGAUAAUUCUAACUAUAACAAUUCUUUCCUAGUAUCUUGCAUGCAAAGUGAUAAGUUACGUAUUUCUAAAUCCUUGGUCCGGCAUCUAGAAAAUCUCACUCCGCACCUUGGUCCGGCUACGUGUGUUGCUAUCCUAACCCUUAUCCUUACCUCAUAUUAAGCAUCGUAUUCGAUAUUUGACUAAGUUAUUACCUCGUACCAAUCAAUACUAGCCUAUUAGAUAGUAUACACUAAAUCUAUGUUAAUAAUUCUUUUCUUAUUAUCUACCUCCUUGGUCCGGCAAGUAGCAUUAAGACGAGUUCUAACGUUGGCCAUCCAUUAAAAAGACUUUUAAGUGAAAGAAUUAUUAAUACAUUCAAGAUACUAAUCUAGAACUGUUAUCUUAGUUAGGGUUAAUCUCAUUAUUUGCCUAUGGUUCCCACAACCCUAGUUAUAGAGUUUAGUUACUCAUAGCUAUAAACACAAUAUUCAAAUAUAUUAAAUACGAAUUUAUGUACUUAAUUCAAUGAGAAAGAAUUAAAUCCAAAGUUUGCUUGAUUAAUCUUAAAAAAUCAAUUGCUAGAAUCUCAAAAUUCAACACUAAUACACAAAGUCUAAUAAUACGGAGUCUAACUAUCUGGUGUCUAUCUAUCUCGUGUCUAACCUCAAAAACGAGGUUUUUCAAACUAUUUAUAAAAAAACAAAAACCUAAUUAAACAAGGAUUCUAAUUGCUGGAAAUCUGCCAAAACGCGGCUGGGUCGACGGACUUAGCGACGGACCGUCAUGGACUCCGUCGUCCCAUACUUGUGCAAUUUCUUUUGUUGCUCUCUUCAUUCCCCUCGACGGCAAGUAUGACGGACCGUCAUAGGGACAACGGUCCGUCGAGGGUCUUCGUUCUAUAACACUUCAACUCUUGGAAUCUGGAUACUGGGAUCACUUCUCUGAUCUUCACGACGAACCUGCAGGACGGAUCGUCAGAGUCACGACGGACCGUCACAAGCUUUGUAAUUCCACACUUAGUCAGACUUCCCCAUCUUCCUUCAGCAGCUGCACUACGCUGCCGCCUACGGACCGUCACAAGCACGACGGACCGUCAUAAGCUCCGUUGGUGGUCUCUUCUGCAUUUCUUCGCUUGAAAUCUCCGCAUUCAGCUUUAGACAGAUUUCCUGCAAAACAAAGAGAAACUUAUGUAAAAAUUAGCACAAAAAGGCUUUUGAACACGCUAAACUUAUGGAAAAAGAAUUAAAAUAUCGUGUAACCACGGUAUAUCAGACACUUACUUAAAUAAAAAAUCAAGUGUUGUACAUGCUGAUAAUCAUCUGUAUCAAAAGUAGGCGAGACAUGAAAAUUUGAGGAUAUCCCAACAUUUUUCGUCAUUUCAAAGUGAGGACUGAUCAAAAUAAUUAUCUAGUCCAUAACUUGGAUCGAUAUUCCUAUCUUACUGACGUAAAUCACUAGAAAAUAUAUAAUGAUAAGAAUAACAAAUCACAUAAAUUAAUAAAUAAUUGAAAAACAUUAAUAAAUUAAUUGAAGUAUAAUUAUUGAGCAUUACCAGUCACUUUCAUUGAUAGUUUCAAUCAAAUCAAUAUCAUAUUGGCCCAUAAGAAUAUUUUGAUAAUGAGUAAUGAUAGGAAAAUCAAUAGAUUGAGUUAUUGAAAAUCCAUGAACGCUAUUAUGAUUUUCUAAUUAAGUAUGGGCAUCGACCGAUAAAGGAGAACGUGUUGACUAGUCUUAGGCUCCUUCCUGACAAAGAUUUCAAGUAUUGUUAAUUUUAUUUGAUCUAUGUAGUUAUUUGGAACCCUCAAAAAGUGGGUCAAUGAUUUGUCAUUAUAGAUAAUCCGCUAUACAAAAUUUAUUUAUCCUUGUGAUAAAAAUGAAGUAGGGUAUUUUCCGACUAAAAUCGAAUUAUAAUGAGUACUAUUUAUACCCAUUCUUUUAUAAAUUGAUGAAAUAAAUUUAUGAUAUUGCACAUUAAUUGAAUAUUUAGCAUUGCGUUUGGGAGGACAAUUAUAAUAAAUAGUAAUUUCAUCAUGUAUAAUUUCGUCAUCCCAAUAAAUCAAAACUCUAACUUUUGUUGUAGACGACAUUGUUUUUUUGAGAUUGAAAUGAAAAAAUAUAGAAGAUUUUAUGUUGUAGGUGCUAUCAACUAUGUUUAAACAUCCUUAAAUAGAGAUUGGAGGAUUUUUCAGAAUAAAAAAAAUAAAAAUGCGGAAUGUAAUAAUUUUUUUGUUUUUAUGAUAUGUUAAAUCAAUAUAAUUGUUUGAAAAACACUGAAAAAGCUUCUUCAAAACAUGAAAAAUAUUCCUCUUUGUAACACUUAGUUUUUUCUUCCACUUUAUAAAGUAUAAGAUUUUCUUCUACUUUAUAAAGUCUAAGAUUUUCUUCCACUUUAUAAAGUGUAACAAAAAGUUUCACUUUAUAAAGAGUAAGAAAUAAUUCUGUUAUAUAUUAAAAUAUACACGUUAUGAGCUAACGAAAAGCGUUUAGAAUAUUCAAUAAAUUGAAACUUUUUCUUUCACUAAGCCUAUUUUAAUUACUUAGUAAAGAAGUGACUUCUUUCGGUCACUUUUGUAUCUUUGUGAUUUAUUUAGGUUCCGAACUCAACUUCUACACCAACGUAAUAAUUCGGUCACCUUUGCACCUGUAGUCACAUCUUCCCAUUUAAAAUUCAUUACAGUUGAAUAACUUGCCAAAAUUUAAAAAAAUCUUUCUUUUUUACCUCUAGAUAUAAAGAUUUAAAAAAAUUAUGAAUUAAUAACAAAAUCAUAAUUUUGGAUGGAUUUAAAAUGGCAGAUUAAGAAACUGAAAUUAUAGUGGCUUUAAAAUCCAAAUAAUUAACCAAUCAAGCAAUUGAUUUUACACGGGAAGAAUGAAUAUCAUUUAUAAGUCAAACAUAUUUUGACAAUAACUUAAUUUAAAAUUUUCCUUACCAUACAUUUGAAAUAGCGGUAAAAAGGCGAAGAAUUUUUUGUAGGUUUAGAAAAUUGACGUCGGAUAAAAUAAUGUGUUAAUGACAUGUUUGUUCCUCUUUAAGUUUUCUGAUGGUAGUGUGUUUGUGUAUACCAUUUUUGCUUUCGAAAAGGGUGAGUAAGAAGAAAUUUAAAAGGACAACCUAAAUAAUGAUUUCUUCAUAUGAUAAUCGACAAUAAUAAUUUCAGAAGAAAAGAUGGUGGUAACGACGAAGCAGUGAAGUUGCACCAGUCAUGAUCGGGAAAUGGUGCGCUUGGAGAAGAAAGAAAGGACUUUUUCUUUUCAAUUUUUUCAAAUCUUUUUCCUUUUGUUUAUAUUUAUAUUUUCUAUUUUUAGUCCUUAUAAAUCAUAAUUCAUCCAUUCUCACUCUACUUAUAUUUGUGAAACUCACGCACUUUAUCCAACUUGGACAUCAAGUUGCCACACAAGCUUAGUCAACGGUUAGAGGGGUUUAAAAGAUUGAGUUUCAUAAAGUUUAAGUGUUCAUUUGACAAUGUCAUGAGUAGAUGAGUCUAAUUUACAACUUGAACUAAGUGUAAGGGUCUCUUGGGUCAUUCUACCUAAAGCAAAUUACAAAGUUUCAACAGUUAAUAUCAAAUGGGGGGAUUUAGGUAAACAAAUUAGGAUAGCUAACAUGGGAAGUAAACAAUUAGAGAUUGAACCUUAGGAGUGUGAUAAGUUGAAUGAUGAUUCGUGUAAUGGAUGAUUACUUCUAACUCAAAGGUGUUGAAUUUCAGUGGGUAGGCUAGGUUUUCGAACCUCAAUGAGCAAAACACAACCAAACAACUCAAUCCCUUAAUUAAUCCACUCUACGAAAUUGGAUUUUGUAAAGACGCAAUCAAACUCACUUUCUCAAGCUAGAUUCUUAAAAAUGCAAUCAAUACAAGCAUAAAUCAAUAAUUACAUUCUAAUACCUCUUUCUUAAGCAAGUAUAGAGAACUAAGCUAGAAUUUCAUUUGCAACUACAAUUCCUCAAUUAAAACAUGAAAAAUUAAUUAAUCACACUUCCAAACAACAAUAAAAAUUAGUAAUUAACACCACCAUUAGUUAAUUAAUACAUUCAACUACAUAAUAACACCCCUAAGGAAAGGAGUAUUAGCCAAGAAUAGUGAAAAACAAGAAAUUGUUACCAACGAAGUGUUUCAUCUGAUUUACUAACGAUUUGUGAUUCUCAAAUGCUAAAAUUUAAGAUAAAAAUCUCACAAUCUCCAAAUCUCUACUUAAAAUUGUAAACACAAUGUUCUAGAAUUUAAAAAACUCAAAAACCCAAAAUUAAACAAUAUGGGAACUUUGUUGAUGCAAUAUGAAUAUGGAGAAUUAUAUUGUCUCUAUGUUAAUUUAGUUAAUUAAUCUUGUUUAUUUCAUUCUUAAGGUAGUAAUUCUAAGUGUGUUUGCAAGAUAUUAUUUAUGACCCUUAAAGGGUAAUUGUCAAGGGUUUAAUCUUGAUGUAUAGCCUUGAAGGCAUUCUAUGUUUAAGCUUCCUAUGUAUGAAUUGUUGAUCCACUUGAAAGGGGGAGGUGUUUACUUAUCAUGUAUCUUAUGUAUGAACAUAUGUUCCCAUUGAAAGGUGAAGUUCCUGUGACUAAUGUGUAAAUUAUAGUAUUGUUGAAACAUUAGUUUUCCUUACCACUACACAUGAUUAUGUAUGAAUUGCAUUGAAUGAUUAUAUGAUGAUUUUAAGGGUGAAAGGUAGUUCUCACUUUGUUGAAUCAAUGAUUGCAAUUCACUUUAACUAUGUAUAAAUUGGGGAAUAAUUCUUAGCACCGAUAGGAUAUGGAAAAUGAGGUAGAGACCUUCCCGUUAAUGCAAUAGGCUGGGUUUUCUACAUAUGCUCGUAUGAGAUGGAAACUUUUUCGCUAAUACAAUAGGAUGGGUUUCUAGAAGCAAUCUCCGUAUACCAUAACUAUGUGCCCGUAUUGGUCUUAGCUAGUGGAUCCACCUUAUAUCUAUAUAUGUCUAGUUCUACCAUAGACAAGAAGGACGCCAUAUUUCGGUGUGGGGUUAUUUGAUACCGGAUUCCAUAUAUCUCACAUGGUCUAUGUUGGUUAAUUCUAUUCCCCCUAUGUAAAAGAUAAUGAAUAUGACUUGAACUAUUCUCGUGAUUUUUUGAUAAGUUCACUUAGUAGGUGUGGGGUAUGUGACAUCACUUUUACAUUGCACAAGUAGUCCUUAAAAGGGAUUGUGGGUUGUUGCCUUAUGCUACAGUAAGACAUGAAGGUAUGGACAUAUGUUGAUUGGAUUGUUGUUAAGGUAUGACUUUCCUUAUGUAUAUAUAAUGAGCAUGGUUUAUCCUUUAUGUAUGAUUAUGGAUUAGGAUGAGGUAUAAAGAUGAUAUGUGUUACUAAGGUGAUUCUAAUAUAGUUGGUGUUAUCGGAUGCCAACUAUACAUCGCACAAGUAUUCUUUUAGGGUUGCUAAGGUGAUGAUUCUACUAUGUUAUGAAGUUUUAUGUGAAAUAUGAUGUUAUGACUUGCAUUAUAUCUUCAUAUGUGUAAAUGUCCUCCAAACUUAAUAAAUGCAUUAUUUUUACUAAAAUGUCCUUUUUAGCUUAUUUAAGUAUUUUUAUGCAUGUUUCCACACUUAGUACUUUAUUUGCUAAUCCCUUAGCUUUAUUCUACAUCUACUAUGAGUGUUGCCGCAGGCUGUUGAGGUUCACUUAGCUCCCUUUUGAAGAAGACUUGGAUUGCUUUCUCCAAAUUGUGGUGAAUUCUCAAGUUCGAGGUCGGAAUUUUUCAUUUCUUAGAUUUCAUUGUAUUUACCUAUGUUGAGACUUUUCUAUUGAUGUAAGGUCUAAGUCCCAAACUUUGUACUCAUAUGUUUAUAUGGUGUAAUGAGACAAGUUCAAUUUCCUAUUAUCAUAUAUGAAGGAAGUUUGACUUCUAUUGAAAAUGUUUUAAUUUUUUUGCAUUAUUUUAUGUAUUAUAUGAUGAUUAUAUUCUAAGGACUUGUAUGAAACUCAUUCGGGGUCAAGUACGUCGUGUCACUCCUAGGGGGUAGCUUCGGGUCGUGACAGUCCACUCGGUGACUCCGCGAGUGGCUUUGGUGAGUACCAACUUUGCUUUUCUUCAAUUUUUUCAUCUUUUUCGCUCCUUUUGCCUCAUAAUAUCCCUGACUUAGUCUUGAGCCUUCAUUAAACAUACCAAUAAAACAUGGAUGGUUUAAAAGAGUUAAAACAACUAUUUUUUUUAAAAAAAAAAGGACGUAAAGUGACAUAUCAUUUCAUUAGGAGAUAGAAAAAAAUUAUCGUCUCAAGUAUAUUUUGAGGAAAAUAAGAAUUGUUGAGUGAUAUUAUAGUCCUAAAAGAAAUAAAAGUGUCGUUCAAGGUAAUUUUUCAAUCAUGGAUGACUGCUUAGGUCCUGUUUGGACAGUCAUCCUAAUAAUUGAAUUUUGUGCAUUUGGGUGUAUUGUCUGUCCUAUUUUUUAAAAAAAGUUAAUUUUUAACUUUUAAAGAUACCAUAAGAAGUACAAAAAGGGGAGGAAAACUCUUAAUACCUACUUACAGUGGGACAUCCCCCAAUCUAUAUACCAAAGUAGUAUUUCAAUGUAAGCUCUAAAAAAAAUAACUAAGUGAGGUAUAAACCUCAUUACAACAGCUCCUUAAGGAACAUCAAAAGUGAAAAUUCUCUACAAGUCUCUAUCUACGGAGAAAGAGUUCUUUUUGGUAAUUGUUCUGAGGGAAGAAACACUCAUUUUAUUCAAAAUCAGUUCUCCUCUUGCCUUUCUUGGCAAUUGAUGAUGAUUUGUGAUCCAUGUUCUGUCCUAUUUGGUUGACCAUGUAAUUAUUUGGUCAGCAAAUAUGAUGUAGUUGAUAGGGUGUAAUUCAAUUCUCCCAAAAUUCACAUGAGUUGGUUGUGAAUUGCUGAUAAUUGACAU
rnacentral:lncRNA from 1 species